rnacentral:rRNA from 1 species
CAAAAACAUCGCCUCUUGACCAAAUAUAAGAGGUCCAGCCUGCCCACUGACAUAGUUUAACGGCCGCGGUACCCUAACCGUGCGAAGGUAGCAUAAUCACUUGUUCUUUAAAUAAGGACUUGUAUCAACGGCAUCACGAGGACUAUACUGUCUCCUUUCUCCAAUCAGUGAAACUGAUCUCCCCGUGAAGAAGCGGGGAUUAACCUAUAAGACGAGAAGACCCCAUGGAGCUUAAAGCCCACAAACACCUCUACGCACUUAAACCAAUUUAGCCUAAGAGACCUGUAAGCCGGCUUUAGGUUGGGGGGACCGCGGAGAAAAACCUAACCUCCACGACAAACGGGCAAACGCCCUUAUCCAUGAAUUACAAUUCUAAGAAUCAAUAAACUGAUGUUUAAUGACCCGAUUAUUCGAUCAACGAACCAAGUUACCCUGGGGAUAACAGCGCAAUCUACUUUAAGAGCUCAUAUCGACAAGUAGGUUUACGACCUCGAUGUUGGAUCAGGGUAUCCCAGUGGUGUAGCCGCUACUAAAGGUUCGUUUGUUCAACGAUUAAAACCCUACGUGAUCU